AGCGCAAUUUGCGGAGAGAAAAUGCGGGUCCCUUGAAAAAUGCUGCGCCAGUCAAGACCCUGAUGAGACUGAUUGAAGAAACGGACGGCGUAGAUUGGAGAAAAAACAAGAGGGAAACUGACAAUGGAGGAGGAGGGAACGGGAAUGAUUUGAUGUGCUGCGUUUGCAUGGAAAGAAAUAAAGGAGCAGCUUUCAUUCCAUGUGGACAUACGUUUUGCAGGGUU
rnacentral:misc_RNA from 1 species